rnacentral:misc_RNA from 1 species
UAAUAAGUGUUUUAUGGCACUUUUUAAAUCCAUAUCCACCUUGUGUGCAAUGUCAGUCGGCCUUCUUUAUGGAGAUCGGCCAAACAUCCACCUAAAUUUUUAACUCUUUGUCUGAAAAAUAUUAUGAAUAAAAUAUUUCAAAUA